rnacentral:rRNA from 1 species
UACGAAGGGGGCUAGCGUUGCUCGGAAUCACUGGGCGUAAAGGGUGCGUAGGCGGGUCUUUAAGUCAGAGGUGAAAUCCUGGAGCUCAACUCCAGAACUGCCUUUGAUACUGAGGAUCUUGAGUUCGGGAGAGGUGAGUGGAACUGGCGAGUGUAGAGGUGAAAUUCGUAGAUAUUCGCAAGAACACCAGUGGCGAAGGCGGCUCACUGGCCCGGUACUGACGCUGAGGCACGAAGCGUGGGGAGCAAACAGG